UCAAAUGUUCUCUACCUAUACCCUAAUCUUCAGGCGUCAUCACCAGCUUAGCCCUCCGUUCUUUGAUGUUUCUCUGUCGUCUCGGGCCUAUAUUGGCCUCCUACUUGCUAUGGUAUCUCCAUCUCCUUGAUCCUUGAGGAGAUUCUCAACGGACCAGGGCGAGUCUGCUUUACACCUUUGGGUUUUCUUGCCUAUUUCAGGCCAUUUGGCUCGACCUUGAUUAAGAUCUUUCUCAUUUUCGUCUUAAAUCCAUGGUAUCCUAAGUCUAUGACCUCGUCUCUAUUAUACUUCUAAAAAGACCCUAAUUUUUACCUUUGAUCUUCUCAAAUCUGUGUGAGAAUGAUUGAACGUAUUUCAUAUGUUUCCUUGAAAGAUUCCUGGUUUUUCAACUGAUUUUUCAUUAUUCCUAAAACUAGGUUUACACAAAGUCAUGUUCUCUAAAAAUAAUUUGAUUUUCAAACGUUAAUCAUUUGUUCUUAAGUGUUAUAAAUUGAUUUCCGCUAAGAUUAUUUGGACCCUAGUCGAUUUAUGCUAAAGCCCCAAUUUUCUUAUAUUUUUGCUUCAUUUCUGGGUUUUUCUGUGUCACUUGUUGCAUUGUUUCAUUCUGUGCUUUGACUUUCAUGGUUCCUCCUUACUCUAAUUCAGUAUCUUGUGAAUUUUGCC
rnacentral:lncRNA from 1 species